rnacentral:rRNA from 1 species
UGCUGCAUGGCUGUCGUCAGCUCGUGUCGUGAGAUGUGGUUAAGUCCGCACGAGCGCAACCCUUGUCACUAGUUGCCAUCAUUUAGUUGGGCACUCUAGUGAGACUGCCGGUGACAAACCGGAGGAAGGUGGGGAUGACGUCAAGUCCUCAUGGCCCUUAUGGGUAGGGCUUCACACGUCAUACAAUGGUCGGUACAGAGGGUUGCCAAGCCGCGAGGUGGAGCCAGUCCCUUAAAGCCGAUCGUAGUCCGGAUCGUAGUCUGCAACUCGACCCCAUGAAGUCGGAUUUGCUAGUAACGGCGCAUCAGCUACGGCGCCGUGAAUACGUUCCCGGGCCUU